CCAACGUUAAUCGGGGCUGGGUGAGUCGACCCCUAAGGCGAGGCCGAAAGGCGUAGUCGAUGGGAAAUUGGUUAAUAUUCCAAUACUUCUGUGUAAUGCGAUGAGAGGACGGAGAAGGUUAAGUCAGCCUGGCGUUGGUUGUCCAGGUGGAAGACAGUAGGCAUGCAUCUUAGGCAAAUCCGGGGUGCUCUAUGCUGAGAGUCGAUAUCAAGCUGUACUUGUACAGUGAAGUGGCUGAUACCAUACUUCCAAGAAAAGUCUCUAAGCUUCAGUUACACAGGAAUCGUACCCGAAACCGACACAGGUGGUCAGGUCGAGUAGACCAAGGCGCUUGAGAGAACUCUGCUGAAGGAACUAGGCAAAA
rnacentral:rRNA from 1 species